GGAUAUGACACAAAAUGACGUGUUGACAUAUUUCGUUAAUAUGCAAUAAAGGAGUCCAACGACAGGGCAUGCUAGGAUGACAAGUAUGACAAGUGUUUCCUCAGGAGUAAGUAGUUUCAUAACUGGAUGCAGUGUUCAUAAUCAGAGAAUGGAGAGGCUCUGGAGAGAUGUUUGCUGUGCUGUGACCGUGAACUACCAUACAGCAUUCCAACAACAUUCUGCCCCACAGCUGCUUUAAACCCUGAGAAUGAGCUUGACCUCAUUUGUUUGCAUUAUCUGAUGCUGCCCCGAAUUAAUGCACAUUUGCAGCUUUUUAAGCAAGCAUAGGAUCGCCAUUCCCUUUCCACAGAGCAAGGAAGGUCACCUCAGCAACUGUGGAUUGAAGGGCAAUUAAUGAGCAACAAUCCAAUCUCUGACCCCGUCAAUGAGCAGGGGAAUCUGGAAGAUUAUGGAAUUGAUUGGGAAGGACCAACACCAUUAGACCCCGAAGGGACAGUUGAUGUUCCAGAGACACCUGAGGCUCUACGCACAGAGCCGUGUUUACCAACAUCUUCAUGGAAGAAUUGAUCCCCUCGACCACAGCAUGUGCUUUGGGAUGGACAUUCUCUUGGAGCCCUUAGAAAUUGCAAGGCAGAUGUUUCAUGCCCAUUAAAAAAUUGCCACCCAAAUAUUUCCUUAGUGUACAUUUUAAG